rnacentral:misc_RNA from 1 species
GAGAGCCGGUGAGUUUC